rnacentral:lncRNA from 1 species
GGAAGACUUGAUGGAACAAAUGAAUGAAUGGAAACACUACAGUCAUUGUCAUGUGAACACACCUGAGCUAGCCUGGUAGAAAAACCUGGACCCACCACCUCUGUAACCCCAGCUGACUAUUAACCAAUGGUCCACAACAACUUCCAGACAACUGUGAAUGAGGCUAUCUCAGACUAUCCAGCCAAACCUGCCCAGACCAGAGGAAUGACCCAGACAAUGUCAUCUUGAGAGAAGAAUGUUCUUGUCUUUGAAUUCU